GACAGAGGGUGCAAACGUUGUUCGGAAUUACUGGGCGUAAAGCGCGUGUAGGCGGCUAAGUAAGUCGGGCGUGAAAUCCCACGGCUCAACCCUGGAAUUGCCUUUAAUACUGGCGGCCUUGAGUAUGGCAGAGGUGUGUGGAACUCCGAGUGUAGAGGUGAAAUUCGUAGAUAUUCGGAAGAACACCAGUGGCGAAGGCGACACACUGGGCCAUUACUGACGCUGAGGCGCGAAAGCGUGGGGAGCAAACAGG
rnacentral:rRNA from 1 species